rnacentral:rRNA from 1 species
GGACGAACGCUGGCGGCGUGCUUAACACAUGCAAGUCGAGCGGUAAGGCCCUUCGGGGUACACGAGCGGCGAACGGGUGAGUAACACGUGGGUGACCUGCCCCCAACUCUGGGAUAAGCCCGGGAAACUGGGUCUAAUACCGGAUAUGACCUCUUGUUGCAUGGCAUGGGGUGGAAAGUUUUUCGGUUGGGGAUGGGCCCGCGGCCUAUCAGCUUGUUGGUGGGGUGAUGGCCUACCAAGGCGACGACGGGUAGCCGGCCUGAGAGGGCGACCGGCCACACUGGGACUGAGACACGGCCCAGACUCCUACGGGAGGCAGCAGUGGGGAAUAUUGCGCAAUGGGCGGAAGCCUGACGCAGCGACGCCGCGUGGGGGAUGACGGCCUUCGGGUUGUAAACCUCUUUCGCCAGGGACGAAGCGCAAGUGACGGUACCUGGAUAAGAAGCACCGGCCAACUACGUGCCAGCAGCCGCGGUAAUACGUAGGGUGCGAGCGUUGUCCGGAAUUAUUGGGCGUAAAGAGCUCGUAGGCGGUCUGUCGCGUCGGUCGUGAAAACUUGGGGCUUAACCCUGAGCUUGCGGUCGAUACGGGCAUGACUGGAGUUCGGCAGGGGAGACUGGAAUUCCUGGUGUAGCGGUGAAAUGCGCAGAUAUCAGGAGGAACACCGGUGGCGAAGGCGGGUCUCUGGGCCGAUACUGACGCUGAGGAGCGAAAGCGUGGGGAGCGAACAGGAUUAGAUACCCUGGUAGUCCACGCCGUAAACGGUGGGCGCUAGGUGUGGGGGCCAUUCCACGGUCUCUGUGCCGCAGCUAACG